UUGACCCUGGGUCAGGCGGGACUACUCGAUGAAUUUAAGCAUAUCAACUAGCGGAGGAAAAGAAACUUAUAAGGAUUCCCUAGUAACGGCGAGCGAAUAGGGAAUAGCACAACCUUAGAAUCGGGCGGCUCCAUCGUCCGAAUUAUAGUCUGGAGAAACAUCCUCAGCAGCGGACCGGGCCCAAGUCCCCUGGAAGGGGACACUAAAGAGGGUGAGAGCCCUAUUGUGCUAGGACCCUGUCGCACUACGAGGCGUUGUCUAUGAGUCGGGUUGUUUGAGAAUGCAGCCCAAAUUGGGUGGUUAAUUCCGUCCCAGGCUAAAUACGGGCGAGAGACCGAUAGCGAACAAGUACCGCGAGGGAAAGAUGAAAAGGACUUUGAAAAGAGACUCAAAGAGUGAUUGAAAUUGUUGGGAGGGAAGUGGAUUGGGGCCAGUGAUGUGCCUCGGUCGGAUGUGGAACGAUGUUAUGCCGGUGUGCCGAUCAACUCGGGGAGUGAAUCAACGUUGAUUAGGGGCGGCCAAAGCCCGGGCUUUUGAUAUGCUCGUGGAACGUCAUCUCCUUGAUUGUGGAAGGCAACAUGCACCUCUAUCAUGCUUCGUCAUAUGCAUGCUCCGGACGCUGGUCUGUGGGCUCCCUAUUCGACCCAUCUUGAAACACGGACAAAGGAGUCUAACAUGUGUGUGAGUCAAUGGGUGAGUAAACCCACAAGGCAUAAGGAAUCUGAUUGGUGGGAUCCCCCUGAGGGGUGCACCGCUGAUCGACCUUGAUCUUCUGUGAAGGGUUUGAGUGUUACCAUACCUGUCGUGACCCGAAAGAUCGUGAACUAUGCCUGAGCGGGGCGAAGCCAUAGGAAACUCUGGUGGAGGCCCGUAGCGAUACUAAUGUGAAAAUCGUCCGUCUAACUUAGGUAUAGGGGCAAAAGACUAAUCGAACUGUCUAGUAGCAGGUUCAGUUUCCCUCAGGAUAGCUGGAGCUCGCGUGCGAGUUCUAUCGGGUAAAGCUAAUGAUUUGAGGCAUCGGGGGUGCAAUGCCCUCGACCUAUUCUAAAACUUUAAAUAAGUAGGAUGGCGCAAUUGCUUUAUUGAGCUACGCCACGGAAUCAAGAGCUCGAAGUGGGCAAUAUUUUGUAAGUAGAACUGGCGAUGUGGGAUGAAUCGGAAGCAGGGUUACAGUGAUAAAAUGCGCACUAACCUAGAUCCCACAAAAGGGUGUUGGUCGAUUAAGACAGCAGGACAGUGGUCAUGGAAGUCGAAAUCCGCUAAGGACUAUGUAUCAACUUACUUGCCAAAUCAACUAGCCCCGAAAAUGGAUGGCUCUUAAUCACGCGACCUACACCCGGCUGUCAGGCAAGUGCUAGGCCCCGAUGAGUCGGAUGGAGCGACGAUCUCUUCAAAACCUUGGGCGUGAGCCUGGGUGGAGCGGCUGUCAGUGCAGAUCUUGGUGGUAGUAGCAAAUAUUCAAAUGAGAACUUUGAAAGCCGAAUAGGGGAAAGGUUCUAUGUGAACGGCACUUGCACUUGGGUUAGUCGAUCUUAAGGGUUGGGGAAACCCUGAUAUAUAGCGCGUUUCACGCGUACUCUUAAAGGGAAUUAGGGACAUGGCGGUUGACGGCAACGUUAGAAAGUCCGGAUUUGUCGGCGGGGUCCUAAAGAAGAGUUAUCUUUUUUGUUUAAUAGCAUGCCCACCCUGGAAAUAACUCAGUUGGAGGUAGGGUCCAGCGGCUGGAAGAUGACCGCACAUCCAGUGGUGUCCGGUGCGCCCCCGACGGCCCUUGAAAAUCUGAAGGACCGAGUGUCGUCCAUGCUCGAUCGUACUCAUAACCGCAUCAGGUUUCCGAGGUGAACAACCUCUAGUCGAUGGAACAAUGUAGGCAAGGGAAGUCGGAAAAAUGGAUCUGUAACUUUGGGAAAAGGAUUGGCUCUAAGGGCUUGGCAUGUGGGUCCUAGUCCCGCACCCGUCAGCUGUCGGUGGACUACUUGAGCUGCUCCCGCGGCGAAAGUGGGUCGCCGCGUGCCGGCUGGGGGACGAACUGGGACCGGUUCAUUCGGGGGCCUUUCCCGGACGUUAAACAGCCAACUCAAAACUAGUACGGACAAGGGGAAUCCGACUGUUUAAUUAAAACAAAGCAUUGCGAUGGUCCCUACGGAUGUUUAUGUAAUGUGAUUUCUGUCUAGUGCUCUGAAUAUCAAAGUGACGAAAUUCAACUAAGUACGGGUAAAUGGCGGGAGUAACUAUGACUCUCUUAAGGUAGCCAAAUUCCUCAUCAUCUAAUUAGUGACGCGCAUGAAUGGAUUAACAAGAUUCCCACUAUCUUUGUCUACUAUCUAGCGAAACCAUAGCCAAGGGAAUGGGUUUGGCAGAAUCAGCGGGGAAAGAAGACACUAUUGAUCUUGACUCUAGUCCGACUUUGUGAAAUGACUUGAGAGUUGUAGUAUAAGUGGGAGCGGAAAGGUAAAAGUGGAAUACCACUACUUUUAACGUUAUUUUACUUAUUCCGUGAAUUGGAAGCGGGGCACUGCCCCUUUUUUUGGACCCAAGGCUUGCUUGCAGGCCGAUUCGGGCUGAAGACAUUGUUAGUUGGGGAGUUUGGCUAGGGCGGCACAUCUAUUAAAAGGCAACGCAGGUGUCAUAAGAUGAGCUCAACGAGAACAGAAAGCUCGUGUGGAACAGAAGGGUAAAAGCUCGUUUGAUUCUAAUUUCCAAUACGAAUACGAAUCGUGAAAGCGUGGACUAACGAUCUUUUGGACCUCUGAAAUUCGAAGCUAGAGGUGUCAAAAAAGUUACCACAUGGAUAACUAGCUUGUGGCAGCCAAGUGUUUAUAGCGACGUUGCUUUUUGAUCCUUCGAUGUCAGCUCUUCCUAUCAUUGUGAAGCAAAAUUCACCAAGUAUUGGAUUGUUCACCCACCAAUAGGGAACGUGAGCUGGGUUUAGAUCGUCGUGAGACAGGUUAGUUUUACCCUACUGAUGACAGUAUCACAAUAGUAAUUCAACCUAGUAUGAGAGGAACAAUUGAUACAAUUGGUCAUUGCGCUUGGUUAAAAAGCUAGUGGCGUGAAGCUACCAUGCACUGGAUUAUGACUGAACGCCUCUAAGUUAGAAUCCGGGCUAGAAGAGACUCAUGCGCUCGCCGUCCUCUUGUCGACCCGUAGUAGGGGCCUUUGUCCCCCAAGGGCAUAUAUUGUUGUCUAGGUCAUCGCGGCGGAAAAGCCGCGGUGGCCGCCUUGAAGUAUAAUUU
rnacentral:rRNA from 1 species